rnacentral:rRNA from 1 species
UACGUAGGGUGCAAGCGUUGUCCGGAAUUAUUGGGCGUAAAGGGCUCGUAGGCGGUCCAUCACGUCGGGAGUGAAAAGCUGGGGCUUAACCCCAGUCCUGCUUCCGAUACGGGUGGACUAGAGGUAGGCAGGGGAGAACGGAAUUCCUGGUGUAGCGGUGAAAUGCGCAGAUAUCAGGAGGAACACCGGUGGCGAAAGCGGCUCACUGGACCACAACUGACGCUGAGGCGCGAAAGCGUGGGGAGCGAACAGG